GAUGAACGCUAGCUACAGGCUUAACACAUGCAAGUCGCGGGGCAGCAUGGGGGUUGCUUGCACUCCCCGAUGGCGACCGGCGCACGGGUGAGUAACGCGUAUCCAACCUGCCCUUCACCACGGGAUAACCCGGCGAAAGUCGGACUAAUACCGUAUGUUGUCCAUUGACGGCAUCCGAUUUGGACGAAAGGUUUGGCGGUGAAGGAUGGGGAUGCGUCCGAUUAGCUGGACGGCGGGGUGACGGCCCACCGUGGCGACGAUCGGUAGGGGUUCUGAGAGGAAGGUCCCCCACACUGGAACUGAGACACGGUCCAGACUCCUACGGGAGGCAGCAGUGAGGAAUAUUGAUCAAUGGGCGUAAGCCUGAACCAGCCAAGUAGCGUGCAGGAUGACGGCCCUAUGGGUUGUAAACUGCUUUUAUGCGGGGAUAAAGUGGCCCACGUGUGGGUUUUUGCAGGUACCGCAUGAAUAAGGACCGGCUAAUUCCGUG
rnacentral:rRNA from 1 species